rnacentral:rRNA from 1 species
CUACGGGGGGCAGCAGUGGGGAAUAUUGGACAAUGGGGGAAACCCUGAUCCAGCAAUGCCGCGUGUGUGAAGAAGGCCUGCGGGUUGUAAAGCACUUUCGGUUGGGAGGACUGCUUCUAGCACUAAUAUUGUUGGAAGUUGACGUUACCUUCAGAAGAAGCACCGGCUAACUCCGUGCCAGCAGCCGCGGUAAUACGGAGGGUGCAAGCGUUAAUCGGAAUUACUGGGCGUAAAGCGCGCGUAGGCGGCUAGAUCAGUCGGGUGUGAAAGCCCCGGGCUUAACCUGGGAACUGCAUCCGAUACUGUCUAGCUUGAGUACAGGAGAGGAGAGUGGAAUUCCACAUGUAGCGGUGAAAUGCGUAGAUAAGUGGAGGAACACCAAUGGCGAAGGCAGCUCUCUGGCCUGAUACUGACGCUGAGGUGCGAAAGCGUGGGGAGCUAACAGGAUUAGAUACCCUAGUAGUC